rnacentral:rRNA from 1 species
GUAGGUGGCAAGCGUUGUACGGAAUUAUUGGGCGUAAAGCGCGCGCAGGUGGGUUCUUUAAGUCUGAUGUGAAAGCCCCCGGGCUCAACCGGGGAGGGUCAUUGGAAACUGGGGAACUUGAGUGCAGGAGAGGAAAGUGGAAUUCCACGUGUAGCGGUGAAAUGCGUAGAUAUGUGGAGGAACACCAGUGGCGAAGGCGACUUUCUGGCCUGUAACUGACACUGAGGCGCGAAAGCGUGGGGAGCAAACAGGAUUAGAUACCCUGGUAGUCCACGCCGUAAACGAUGAGUGCUAAGUGUUGGGGGGUUUCCGCCCCUCAGUGCUGCAGCUAACGCAUUAAGCACUCCGCCUGGGGAGUACGGUCGCAAGACUG